CCGAAUCGUCGACACGAGUUGUUGCUGGCCCUCAAACGGGGGCAUGUGCACGCUCUGUUUGCAUCCACCCACACCUGUGCACCCUUUGUAGUUCUGUGGUUUGGGGGACCCCCCUCCUCCGUCUGCGGUUCUGCGUCUUUACACACACACUGUAACAAGUCCUAUGGAAUGUACGUCGCGUCUAACGCAAUACAAUA
rnacentral:misc_RNA from 1 species